GCGUGCCUAAUACAUGCAAGUCGAACGCUUCUUUCCUCCCGAGUGCUUGCACUCAAUUGGAAAGAGGAGUGGCGGACGGGUGAGUAACACGUGGGUAACCUACCCAUCAGAGGGGGAUAACACUUGGAAACAGGUGCUAAUACCGCAUAACAGUUUAUGCCGCAUGGCAUAAGAGUGAAAGGCGCUUUCGGGUGUCGCUGAUGGAUGGACCCGCGGUGCAUUAGCUAGUUGGUGAGGUAACGGCUCACCAAGGCCACGAUGCAUAGCCGACCUGAGAGGGUGAUCGGCCACACUGGGACUGAGACACGGCCCAGACUCCUACGGGAGGCAGCAGUAGGGAAUCUUCGGCAAUGGACGAAAGUCUGACCGAGCAACGCCGCGUGAGUGAAGAAGGUUUUCGGAUCGUAAAACUCUGUUGUUAGAGAAGAACAAGGACGUUAGUAACUGAACGUCCCCUGACGGUAUCUAACCAGAAAGCCACGGCUAACUACGUGCCAGCAGCCGCGGUAAUACGUAGGUGGCAAGCGUUGUCCGGGAUUUAUUGGGCGUAAAGCGAGCGCAGGCGGUUUCUUAAGUCUGAUGUGAAAGCCCCCGGCUCAACCGGGGAGGGUCAUUGGAAACUGGGAGACUUGAGUGCAGAAGAGGAGAGUGGAAUUCCAUGUGUAGCGGUGAAAUGCGUAGAUAUAUGGAGGAACACCAGU
rnacentral:rRNA from 1 species